rnacentral:rRNA from 1 species
UCGAGGAUCUUCGGCAAUGGGCGCAAGCCUGACCGAGCGACGCCGCGUGAGCGAUGAAGGCCUUCGGGUUGUAAAGCUCUUUAGCAGGGGAGGAAGCCGAAAGGUUGACCUAUCCUGAGAAUAAGCACGGGCUAAGUUCGUGCCAGCAGCCGCGGUAAGACGAACCGUGCGAACGUUGUUCGGAAUCACUGGGCUUAAAGGGCGCGUAGGCGGGCUGCCAAGUCCGGGGUGAAAUCUUUCGGCUCAACCGGAAAAGUGCCUCGGAUACUGGCGGUCUUGAGGGAGGUAGGGGUAUGUGGAACUUCCGGUGGAGCGGUGAAAUGCGUUGAUAUCGGAAGGAACGCCGGUGGCGAAAGCGACGUACUGGACCUCUUCUGACGCUGAGGCGCGAAAGCUAGGGGAGCGAACGGGAUUAGAUACCCCCGUAGUCC